GCACAAGCGGUGGAGCAUGUGGUUUAAUUCGACGCUACGCGAAGAACCUUACCUGGGCUUGAACUGCUGGUGGUAGAAGCCCGAAAGGGUAACGACCCGGAGCAAUCCGGGAGCCAGUAGAGGUGCUGCAUGGCUGUCGUCAGCUCGUGUCGUGAGAUGUUGGGUUAAGUCCCGCAACGAGCGCAACCCUUACCCUUAGUUGCCAGCGGGUAAUGCCGGGCACUCUAAGGGGACCGCCCCGGAUAACGGGGAGGAAGGCGGGGAUGACGUCAAGUCAGCAUGGCCCUUAUGUCCAGGGCUACACACGUGCUACAAUGGGCGAUACAGAGGGAAGCAAGGCCGCAAGGUAGAGCUAAUCCCUAAAGUCGUCCUCAGUUCGGAUUGCAGGCUGCAACUCGCCUGCAUGAAGUCGGAAUCGCUAGUAAUCGCGGAUCAGCUACGCCGCGGUGAAUACGUUCUCGGGCCUU
rnacentral:rRNA from 1 species